rnacentral:rRNA from 1 species
UACGAAGGGGGCUAGCGUUGCUCGGAAUGACUGGGCGUAAAGGGCGCGUAGGCGGACGGCUUUGUCGGGCGUGAAAUUCCAGGGCUUAACCUUGGGGCUGCGUUCGAGACGGGUUGUCUAGAGUUUGGAAGAGGGUCGUGGAAUUCCCAGCGUAGAGGUGAAAUUCGUAGAUAUUGGGAAGAACACCGGUGGCGAAGGCGGCGACCUGGUCCUUGACUGACGCUGAGGCGCGAAAGCGUGGGGAGCAAACAGG